rnacentral:rRNA from 1 species
UACGUAGGGUACAAGCAUUAAUCGGAAUGAUUGGGCGUAAAGAGCUCGUAGGCGGUUUGUCGCGUCUGCUGUGAAAACCCGAGGCUCAACCUCGGGCCUGCAGUGGGUACGGGCAGGCUAGAGUUCGGCAGGGGAGACUGGAAUUCCUGGUGUAGCGGUGAAAUGCGCAGAUAUCAGGAGGAACACCGGUGGCGAAGGCGGGUCUCUGGGCCGAUACUGACGCUGAGGAGCGAAAGCGUGGGGAGCGAACAGG